rnacentral:tRNA from 1 species
UAGCUCAGUGGUAGAGCACUUGUCUAGCAUGCAUGAGGAGGCCCUGGGUUCAAUUCCCAA